GAUGAACGCUGGCGGCGUGCUUAACACGUGCAAGUCGAACGUGAGGGUGCAGCGAUGUGCCUGAAAGUGGCGAACGGGUGAGUAACACGUAGAUGACCUGCCCUGGAGUGGGGGAUAACCAUUGGAAACGGUGGCUAAUACCGCAUACAUCCGGAGAACUGGGAAGUUUUCUGGGGAAAGCUCUGGUGCUUCAGGAGGGUCUGCGUCCGAUUAGCUAGUUGGUGGGGUAAAGGCUCACCAAAGGCGACGAUCGGUAGCUGGUCUGAGAGGACGAUCAGCCACACGGGAACUGAGACACGGUCCCGACUCCUACGGGGGGCAGCAGUGAGGAAUAUUGGGCAAUGGGCGGAAGCCUGACCCAGCAACGCCGCGUGGAGGAAGACGGCCUUCGGGUUGUAAACGUACCUUUUGUACGGGAAGAGGAGAGGACGACCGUCGAAUAAGUACACGG
rnacentral:rRNA from 1 species